CAGUAGCCGCGGUAAUACGAAGGGGGCUAGCGUUGUUCGGAAUUACUGGGCGUAAAGCGCACGUAGGCGGAUAUUUAAGUCAGGGGUGAAAUCCCAGAGCUCAACUCAGGAACUGCCUUUGAUACUGGGUAUCUUGAGUAUGGAAGAGGUGAGUGGAAUUCCGAGUGUAGAGGUGAAAUUCGUAGAUAUUCGGAGGAACACCAGUGGCGAAGGCGGCUCACUGGUCCAUUACUGACGCUGAGGUGCGAAAGCGUGGGGAGCAAACAGGAUUAGAGACCCCGGUAGUCCCUGUCUCUUAUAA
rnacentral:rRNA from 1 species